rnacentral:rRNA from 1 species
UACGUAGGGUGCGAGCGUUAAUCGGAAUUACUGGGUUUAAAGGGUGCGUAGGCGGGCAGAUAAGUCAGUGGUGAAAUCUCCGAGCUUAACUCGGAAACUGCCGUUGAUACUAUUUGUCUUGAAUACUGUGGAGGUAAGCGGAAUAUGUCAUGUAGCGGUGAAAUGCUUAGAUAUGACAUAGAACACCAAUUGCGAAGGCAGCUCACUACGCGGUCAUUGACGCUGAGGCACGAAAGCGUGGGGAUCAAACAGG